GCAUGAACUCCAUCUUUGAGGAGCCCAAGGAUAUUCAUGGUGGGAUGGCCAGAUGGUAGUGGGGGACUUGGGAAGUCCCCACACAAGCGGAGUGACCUGACCUUCCACCUGGGAAAGAUUUGUUAUAGUGGAACCAAUACCAGGAGGAAGAGCAGUCUAGAGGUGGUCUACCUGCUUCCCUUCUAAUACCCGCCCCCUUUCCUGGAGUUAGGAGCUCUUGGUGCAUUUCCACAGUCAUCUCCUUCUCUGUGUGGGGAGAAGGCAUUGCAGGCUCCACCCUGGAAAGAAAUGAGCGAAACAAACAAAACCCAAAGCCUGGCCCAAAGUGAGAUGUGGAAAGGUGACGCACAAGUCCAUCAGCCUGUCCCUGGAUGCCGGAUACACACUGCUGCACCUGCUUGUUGGUUUCAGAAUCAGCCAGUUUCCAAAGGGAAGAAUAAAAGAGAGCAAGGGACAAGUGACGGUGAAGACACCAUGCAGACCAUCCUGAGGCAGUGCUGGAGAAAGGGAAAGAGAAAACCUGUUCUGGUCUGUUCUGUGUCAUUGAGGUUCUGGGGUGAGGCCUUCAGAUGUAAAGAAAUGCAUGCUGGGAGCAAGGGCUGCUGUGCCAAGAAUAACUCCGGAGGAGACAGUACAAUCCCCAGUCUCCAGUAAAAUGAACUCUAUAAUCAACUCCGCUGUGCUCUGUAAAUAUUCUAUCCGCUGAUAAAGAGCUCGGCAAAUAGAGGCGGCGCCUAAGCACAGCUCCCAGAGCAGAAACUAGACGAGAGAGAGAGGCUGAUGCCUGUCUCAGUGGCUGGGGUGAGGAAGGAACUUCUGUUGCGACAUCACUUACACAGACUCAGCACUCAGUGUGGUGGCAGGUGAGCUCAGGGGGGCAACAGAGCAGGCUGCCAAGCUCUUCUCAAUCAUUCCUGUGCCCGCCAGCGUGGCUCCUUUAACAACAGAUCUAUUUGUACAAACUGUGCACUUCCUGUCUGGCCUGCCCUGGUCAUUACCCUCUUACAAAAAUCUUCUGACACGGCCAGAAUCACCUGCAGGACUGGAACUCACACCCACUUGGCUCCAGAGUCGCCUUUCAUUUUCAAGGACAGAGAGUUUAUUUGUAAGAAGUAUACAGGAAGUCAUGAUCAUCUUAAAUGUAUAGCUCUGUAAACCUAAACCUGUUUACAAGCAGGAUAGACUCCCUCAGGAUCAGGACAUAUGUUUCCAUGCCCAGAAGUCCACCCUCAAUUUUCUCUCACAAUACCAUCACCAGUUAUACCCAUCCCCGCCUUAUAUCAUUGAGAACACAUUUCUCCCGUUCUUCAACUUUGGGUCAAUGGAUUCCUACAGUAGGUUCUCUUUUGUGCCCGGCUGCUUUACCCAACGCUGUGGGAGGUGCUAAGUGUACAGAGCCUGAAUCUUGCCAUACAGGCGUGUUCCAUGCUGCCUCCCAGCAGCGACUCCUUCAAAGUGGCUCAGAUGGGGGUGUGAGCCUUUGUGGGCAGAGUGGGAACAGCAGGCUGACUUCAGAGGUGGGCUGAGAAGGGAGGACUUUUCAGAUCAGGUCCUGGCUGGACAAUUCUUCCUCCCUAAGCCUUGAGUUUCCUGGACCCAGACUCGUAGCCAGAAUACAAGUUCCUCUUCUGAUUUUGUUUCUCUGUGCACAGAGCCAACUUCUUCACUACUGCUUUCUCAGAUGUGUAGACACAUUCCCCAGAAUCAACCUUUCUGUGCCCGGCAGGGAAGUUCCUUGAAUUAUACACUUCCUGUCUGCCCUGUCCAGGCCUUUAACUUCUCACCAAAUGCUCUGGCC